UAUCAACGCUGGCGGCGUGCCUAACACAUGCAAGUCGUGCGCGAAAGGGGCUUCGGCCCUGAGUAGAGCGGCAAACGGGUGAGUAACACGUGGGUGACCUGCCUUCGAGUGGGGGAUAACGUCCCGAAAGGGACGCUAAUACCGCAUGACAUCCUGCCUUUGGACAGGCGGAGAUCAAAGCCGGGGAUCGCAAGACCUGGCGCUUGAAGAGGGGCCCGCGCCUGAUUAGCUAGUUGGUGAGGUAACGGCUCACCAAGGCAACGAUCAGUAGCCGGCCUGAGAGGGCGGACGGCCACACUGGGACUGAGACACGGCCCAGACUCCUACGGGAGGCAGCAGUGGGGAAUUGUUCGCAAUGGGCGCAAGCCUGACGACGCAACGCCGCGUGGAGGACGAAGAUCUUCGGGUCGUAAACUCCUGUCGAGCGGGAAGAAUCCCUUCCUGGUGAAUAUCCAGGGAGGUUGACGGUACCGCUAAAGGAAGCCCCGGCUAACUCCGUGCCAGCAGCCG
rnacentral:rRNA from 1 species